UACGAAGGGGGCUAGCGUUGUUCGGAAUUACUGGGCGUAAAGCGUGCGCAGGCGGCUUCUCAAGUCAGGGGUGAAAGCCCAGAGCUCAACUCUGGAAUUGCCUUUGAGACUGAGUGGCUUGAGUACGGGAGAGGUGAGUGGAAUUCCCAGUGUAGAGGUGAAAUUCGUAGAUAUUGGGAAGAACACCGGUGGCGAAGGCGGCUCACUGGCCCGUAACUGACGCUCAUGCACGACAGCGUGGGGAUCAAACGGG
rnacentral:rRNA from 1 species